UACGUAGGGCGCAAGCGUUAUCCGGAAUUAUUGGGCGUAAAGAGCUCGUAGGCGGUUUGUCGCGUCUGCCGUGAAAGUCCGGGGCUCAACUCCGGAUCUGCGGUGGGUACGGGCAGACUAGAGUGAUGUAGGGGAGACUGGAAUUCCUGGUGUAGCGGUGAAAUGCGCAGAUAUCAGGAGGAACACCGAUGGCGAAGGCAGGUCUCUGGGCCACUACUGACGCUGAGAAGCGAAAGCAUGGGGAGCGAACAGGAUUAGAACCGUACGUC
rnacentral:rRNA from 1 species